rnacentral:rRNA from 1 species
AGAGUUUGAUCCUGGCUCAGGAUGAUUUCUGGCGGCGUGCCUAACACAUGCAAGUCGAACGGAGCUGCUUUGAUGAAGUUUUCGGAUGGAUUUAAAACAGCUUAGUGGCGGACGGGUGAGUAACGCGUGGGUAACCUGCCUCACACUGGGGGAUAACAGUUAGAAAUAGCUGCUAAUACCGCAUAAGCGCACGGUUCCGCAUGGAACAGUGUGAAAAACUCCGGUGGUGUGAGAUGGACCCGCGUCUGAUUAGCCAGUUGGCGGGGUAACGGCCCACCAAAGCGACGAUCAGUAGCCGGCCUGAGAGGGUGAACGGCCACAUUGGGACUGAGACACGGCCCAAACUCCUACGGGAGGCAGCAGUGGGGAAUAUUGCACAAUGGGGGAAACCCUGAUGCAGCGACGCCGCGUGAGUGAAGAAGUAUUUCGGUAUGUAAAGCUCUAUCAGCAGGGAAGAAAGUGACGGUACCUGAAUAAGAAGCCCCGGCUAACUACGUGCCAGCAGCCGCGGUAAUACGUAGGGGGCAAGCGUUAUCCGGAUUUACUGGGUGUAAAGGGAGCGUAGACGGCAAGGCAAGUCUGAAGUGAAAGCCCGGUGCUUAACGCCGGGACUGCUUUGGAAACUGUUUGGCUGGAGUGCCGGAGAGGUAAGCAGAGUUCCUAGUGUAGCGGUGAAAUGCGUAGAUAUUAGGAAGAACACCAGUGGCGAAGGCGGCUUACUGGACGGUAACUGACGUUGAGGCUCGAAAGCGUGGGGAGCAAACAGGAUUAGAUACCCUGGUAGUCCACGCCGUAAACGAUGA